GAUGAACGCUGGCGGCGUGCCUAAUACAUGCAAGUCGAGCGAAUGGAUUAAGAGCUUGCUCUUAUGAAGUUAGCGGCGGACGGGUGAGUAACACGUGGGUAACCUGCCCAUAAGACUGGGAUAACUCCGGGAAACCGGGGCUAAUACCGGAUAACAUUUUGAACCGCAUGGUUCGAAAUUGAAAGGCGGCUUCGGCUGUCACUUAUGGAUGGACCCGCGUCGCAUUAGCUAGUUGGUGAGGUAACGGCUCACCAAGGCAACGAUGCGUAGCCGAACUGGGAGGGUGAUCGGCCACACUGGGACCGAGACACGGCCCAGACUCCUACGGGAGGCAGCAGUAGGGAAUCUUCCGCAAUGGACGAAAGUCUGACGGAGCAACGCCGCGUGAGUGAUGAAGGCUUUCGGGUCGUAAAACUCUGUUGUUAGGGAAGAACAAGUGCUAGUUGAAUAAGCUGACACCUUGACGGUACCUAACCAGAAAGCCACGGCUAACUACGUGCCAGCCGCCGCCGUAA
rnacentral:rRNA from 1 species